GAUCGAAAUUCUAACAUUCGUAAAUUCUAACAUUCGUAAACCUGGAAAUUUGAAAAUUCAGAAAUUUGAAAGAAUGAAAAUUCAAUAUAAUAGUUCUUUUGGAGCAAACUUCAUGAGAUUAGACACAACUGCAGAUCCGACCAAGACAGAGUGGCCGAAUGAACGUUUCUCAACUACGAAAAUACUCAGUGGUGGAUGGAGGUUUCCAAACACAACCCUAACGAAUGGAUCGGACAAGCCAUUGUCAUCGGCAGGUAGUAUUCCCCGAGCCUGGUAAACGUGAGCCCUCAGCUGAAAAUAGCGGUAAUCUACAGAGAUCAAGAGGAGAGGACAUGUUCACUAUAUACUGUUAGUUAUACCUCUAACACCUGGCAAGAUUCUAGAAGAUAUUAGGGUACCUUUACCCAAGAUGGGUAUUAUUAAAAUGUUGGUUCAUA